rnacentral:tRNA from 1 species
UCCAACUUAGCUCAAUGGUAGAGCAAUCGGCUGUUAACCGAUCGGUUGUAGGUUCGAGUCCCACAGUUGGAG